rnacentral:rRNA from 1 species
GACGAACGCUGGCGGCGUGCUUAACACAUGCAAGUCGAACGGAAAGGCCCUGCUUUUGUGGGGUGCUCGAGUGGCGAACGGGUGAGUAACACGUGAGUAACCUGCCCUUGACUUUGGGAUAACUUCAGGAAACUGGGGCUAAUACCGGAUAGGAGCUCCUGCUGCAUGGUGGGGGUUGGAAAGUUUCGGCGGUUGGGGAUGGACUCGCGGCUUAUCAGCUUGUUGGUGGGGUAGUGGCCUACCAAGGCUUUGACGGGUAGCCGGCCUGAGAGGGUGACCGGCCACAUUGGGACUGAGGUACGGCCCAGACUCCUACGGGAGGCAGCAGUGGGGAAUAUUGCACAAUGGGCGGAAGCCUGAUGCAGCAACGCCGCGUGCGGGAUGACGGCCUUCGGGUUGUAAACCGCUUUCGCCUGUGACGAAGCGUGAGUGACGGUAAUGGGUAAAGAAGCACCGGCUAACUACGU